GCUGCGCAGAGAGGGAGAGCUGCGCAGUGCCCCUUCAGUGAAGCGGGAGGAGGAACAGGAGGGGCUCCUUCUGUUCCUCCUCCCCACUUCGCUAAAGGGGUGCUGCGCAGUUCUCUCUCUCUGCGCAGC